GGCUCAGAUUGAACGCUGGCGGCAGGCCUAACACAUGCAAGUCGAGCGGUAGAGAGGUGCUUGCAUCUCUUGAGAGCGGCGGACGGGUGAGUAAUGCCUAGGAAUCUGCCUAGUGGUGGGGGGAUAACGUUCGGAAACGGACGCUAAUACCGCAUACGUCCUACGGGAGAAAGCGGGGGAUCUUCGGACCUCGCGCCAUUAGAUGAGCCUAGGUCGGAUUAGCUAGUUGGUGAGGUAAUGGCUCACCAAGGCGACGAUCCGUAACUGGUCUGAGAGGAUGAUCAGUCACACUGGAACUGAGACACGGUCCAGACUCCUACGGGAGGCAGCAGUGGGGAAUAUUGGACAAUGGGCGAAAGCCUGAUCCAGCCAUGCCGCGUGUGUGAAGAAGGUCUUCGGAUUGUAAAGCACUUUAAGUUGGGAGGAAGGGUAGUAACCUAAUACGUUGCUACUUUGACGUUACCGACAGAAUAAGCACCGGCUAACUUCGUG
rnacentral:rRNA from 1 species